GCCCGGAUGGCGGAAUUGGUAGACGCGCUGGUCUCAAACACCAGUGGGAAACCGUGCCGGUUCGACUCCGGCUCCGGGUACAA
rnacentral:tRNA from 4 species